UUACGACCACAUCACGUUGAAACACCGUUUCCUUUAAGAACACCGAAGCUAAGCAAUGUCGAUCUUGGUCAGUACCUAGAUGGGUAACCUCUUGGGAAUACCAGGUGCUGG